UCUCAGUGCCUCUGACUGCUGAAUCGUCCUCCUGUGGCGCGCCAAGAGCCGCCUUGCCCAAGGGAGAGCUCCCAGUCCAAAGGCAAAAUCACACGGAAUUGCCGGCUUCUAUCUGAGACAGACAGCCCUCCUCUACUGUGAAUGGGAUUCGGGAUUCGAACGGAAGCUGCCAGAGCCCCUACACCUCGCGCCGUGAGCACAGCGCCACCCACGACCUGCGGCGGUGUGGUUGGGUGUACCCAGAUGCCAUUGGUCUCUCUGCAACAUUUGGGGCACCGAAGCCAACUUGACCUGCCUGAUGCAAACAUCUGGAUUCCAGGGGAACUACCAGGGCCAGUGGCUGAAGGCACAAGCAUCGAAUCACCAGCUCUUCAGACUCCAGCCUCCGAGUACAUAGUUGUAUAUUCUUCGUUGAGGGCCCUUCUAGUUGUGGCAUGUGGGACGCUGCCUCAGUGUGGCUUGAUGAGCGGUGCCAUGUCCGCGCCCAGGAUUCGAACCGAUGAAACACUGCAGUGGAGCGUGCGAACUUAACCAC
rnacentral:lncRNA from 1 species